rnacentral:rRNA from 1 species
UACGGAGAGUGCAAACGUUGUUCGGAUUCAUUGGGCUUAAAGGGCACGUAGGCGGUCGGCUUAGUCGGAUGUGAAAGCCCUCGGCUUAACCGAGGAACGGCAUCCGAUACUGGCCGGCUUGAGCGAAGAAGGGGAGAGCGGAACUUCUGGUGUAGCGGUGAAAUGCGUAGAUAUCAGAAGGAACGCCGGUGGCGAAAGCGGCUCUCUGGUCUUCUGCUGACGCUGAGGUGCGAAAGCCAGGGGAG